rnacentral:lncRNA from 1 species
GUUUCUGUGUGUGUGUGUGUGUGUGUGUGUGUGUGUGUGUGUGUGUGUGUGUGUGUGUGUGUGUGAGGGAGGGGGGGGGGAGACGACGACGUGGGAAUGUGUGUGUUUAUGUAGAGAGAGAGGGAGAGAGAGAUUUGAGCGGCACUUUAUUUGCAAACUACUGGCUGAGUUCCCACUAGAGGCAGCGAGAUCAGACUGUGUGUGCGUGUGUGUGUGUGUGUGUGUGUGUGUGUCUGGGAGAAACAUCAGCCGAGACGGGCAGACAGAAGGAAGGAGAGAAAGAGAAGGAGCGAGAAAGAGAGAAAGAGGAGGGGGCGAGAGGAACUCGUUCAACCCAUUUGGGCGACAACUUUCCGGCCCGUCCCCAUGAGGUCUCGCUGCGAGUCUGGAAGGUUUGGGAGCUCGUGUGUUUGAAUCGUGCCGGUUUCACGCCGCGGGAACUUUGCCCGCACUUUAGUCCUUCCUCGAGGACGGGUUUCGACCAUUCCACGAGUCCAUUCGAACCCGUCCAGGUCGGGAAACUCGCUCGCAGGAGUGCGUGGACGAGCUAGAGGAAAAAGAAGAUCCAAAGUGGCAGCAGGCGACGAGGAGACGUCACGCUUAAAUCCAGGAGACAAGCACAAAGAGCGCUGGCAUCACGCUUUGUUCCACAGUGAGGAGGAGCAGCGCGGGAACGUUUUCAUCCCAACUGAAACCAGCUGGGAACGCAGAGGACAGAGGAGAGGAGAAGACAAGUCGCCGCUUGGAGGAAGACGAGGACGGACGACAAGUCCAAGUCCAUGAAAGACCAGCGAGAGCCCGGAAGCCUCGACGGGACCGCGAAGAGGCCGCUCGCCGCUACGCACCAAACACGCAGGUUUUACACACCCAGAAAUACACAAACAUUUAAAGAAACCAUCUGAUGUGUGCGUGCGAAC